UCUGGUUGAAUCCUGCCAAUCUCUGGGAGACCGUGCCAAUCCCUCCAGAUACCGGGCUGAUCUCCCGUUCUGGUGGGUCUUUAUCAAUUCUUCUAGGGCUAAUACAUGUGUUUUCUGGCAACCAUGUAAAGAAGUACUUAUUAGACAUUGAUGCAUAAAUUUAGUUGUGAGUAAUAAUAAUAAUUGUUGACUUUAUCGCAUGCUUGAGUAGCGAUGUUCCUUUCAAGUUUCUGCCCUAUCAGCUUUCGAUGGUAGUGUAUUGGACUACCAUGGCAGUAACGGGUAACGAAGAAUUUGGGUUCGAUUUCGGAGAGGGAGCCUGAAAGAUGGCUACCACAUCCAAGGAAGGCAGCAGGCGCGUAAAUUACCCAAUCCUGACACAGGGAGGUAAUGACAAUAAAUCUCAAUACGAAGCCUUUGGUUUUGUAAUUGAAUUGAGAACAAUGUACAAUCGUUAUCGAUAAACAAUUGGAGGGCAAGUCUGGUGCCAGCAGCCGCGGUAAUUCCAGCUCCAAUAGCGUAUAUUAACGUUGUUGCAG
rnacentral:rRNA from 1 species